CACCACAGCUCAAGGUCAUGAGCAGCAUGGAAACAGUAGCUGGAAACCAAGAACCAAACCUUGACUACCCAUGGUCUUAAAGGCUUGACACAGGGACAGGAUUUUCAAGGAAGAGAGCCAACUUUCCUCUAUACCUGGGUCACUGAGGAAUUAUCUGCCGGGUUGUGUUGCAUCCACGCUGCUAUGGGAAUGCUGCGGAAAGGAACUAUAUUCCCACUUCGUUGUCUCCCACAUGUAAAAGGCAGUACUGCUGCAAAUUCAAUUGCAGAUGAUGUAGCAGGCUUGCUCCCCACAAGCAUUCAGUCUGACAUCUGGCCAUCACUGCAACUUCUGGAGGAAAAAAAACACCACCAAAAUUCCCUGCAUGACACCUCUGAAGAUCACAGAAGAAAAAGACAGAUGAUUUCUGAAACAUAAAAAAAAAGUUUGCUGUAGAAUAUAGUCUGAAGCCUUGUUCGGACUGCCUAUAAACCAAGAUGGAAUGCAAGUCUGUCUAACUGAUGUGGUUGAAGUCAUCUCAGUGUUAGUCACAGACAGCCUGGACUGAUAGUAGGUUGUGUUCAGAGCACAAAUUUUUGUGCAGGCAUAGUAUUGUUUCCUUUGUAUACCAGAAAAUGGAACAGCAAUUUUGGUUGUUAUUUUGCCAAUAAGUGUGCUGGAAAGAUGAAUACAAACCAAUUACAAAUAUGCCAUUGUUAAGUUGGUUCUUGUUUGAAGGCUUUGCCAGCUCUGUAAUUGCUCUCAGACUAAUCAAUUAUACAAAUUUUCUUUUUACAAAGUAGAGCAAACUGCUAACCCAAUUUCCUGAUUAUUGUCCUUUAUGUUUUCGUAAAGCUUUUAGAUUAAUUAAUUCCUAGAUGAACAUAAUUUACAAGUACAGUGGAUGCUUUCUGGAAAGUAGUCAUUAAUCAUUGUAAUGUAUGACCUCAAUCAUAUCUUGUGUCUUAAAAAUAUGCUUUUAUAUUAAUCAAUAAUUAACAUUACCUUGCACUAUGUCCUUUAUUCAAGAAGUUAUCCUUGUUGUUUGUAAAAGGCAAAUAAAAUACUUAUGAACUUCUCACAGUACCUUCCUCCAAAGCUGUUGAAUGUCAGAAAUAGAUGAUGGAAAGCUAAAGAUAUCAUCUCUGAUUACUUAGCUGUGUGGGAGAUGGUGCUUGAGGCAAAAUGUUUUUCCUGUAUCAGCAUCAAUACCUAUGGAUCAUGCUAUGAAAUGCAUCAGACUACAAAUCUUAGUGACAGACCACCUACGUAGGGUGGUUUGUGUGCUUCUUCCAAGUCCUUAAUGAGUUCAGCAUUCAAACCCAGUUCAAUCAUC